CAGGAAGCAGCCCUCACCAGACCCUGGAGCUGCCAUGCAGUGACCUCGGACUUCCAGCCUCCAGGACUGCGAGAGACACAUUCCGGACCCUGUCUACAGACCACGUGUGCUUGGGGGUCUCACAGCCUGGCAUCCUGGGAGCUGAGAGCCCCUGAAGCCUCAGCAGCUGGACCUGGGCUGGAGCAAGAUUUCCGAGGUCCAGGUGAGGAGCACUCCUGAGCCUGUCUCCAGCCUCCUUCUCACGUUCUAUGUGAACUCCGGGGCUCUGCUGGCUGAAAGCAAGCUCUGUUUCUCGGCAGCCCUGUGGCUUUUGGACUUAACAGACUUGAAAUUAGUUCAUGGCGACCCAGACGCACACCACAACUCAGAAACCACACGGGAGCCGUGUCGGCAAGGGCAGCCGCACUGUGGAGCAGCCAGACUGAAAUUUAUAGCAGGAGCCUGGGCCUGGUCGGGCCCCAUGAGAGCGUGCAACUUGAAUCGCUGCUUAGUCACCCCUGGCUUGGCAAGGUCGCGGAUCAGGAACGCAUCAAAGGUCAGACGGCAGGACUGCGUCUAGACGUCUGUUUCAGAGUCUGCGCUCGCUC